GCGUAAGCAAUCUGCCCCUAAGACGAGGAUAACAGUUGGAAACGACUGCUAAGACUGGAUAGGAGAUAAGAAGGCAUCUUUUUAUUUUUAAAAGACCUAGCAAUAGGUAUGCUUAGGGAAGAGCUUGCGUCACAUUAGUUAGUUGGUGGGGUAAUGGCCUACCAAGACGAUGAUGUGUAGCCGGGCUGAGAGGUCGAACGGCCACAUUGGGACUGAGACACGGCCCAAACUCCUACGGGAGGCAGCAGUAAGGAAUUUUCGGCAAUGGAGGAAACUCUGACCGAGCAAUGCCGCGUGAACGAUGAAGUAUUUCGGUACGUAAAGUUCUUUUAUUAGGGAAGAAAAGAUGGUGGAAAAACCAUUAUGACGGUACCUAAUGAAUAAGCCCCGGCUAACUAUGUGCCAGCAGCCGCGGUAAUACAUAGGGGGCAAGCGUUAUCCGGAAUUAUUGGGCGUAAAGGGUGCGUAGGCGGUUAAAUAAGUUUAUGGUCUAAGUGCAACGCUCAACGUUGUGAUGCUAUAAAAACUGUUUAGCUAGAGUUGGAUAGAGGCAAGUGGAAUUCCGUGUGUAGUGGUAAAAUGCGUAAAUAUACGGAGGAACACCAGAAGCGAAGGCGGCUUGCUGGGUCUUAACUGACGCUGAGGCACGAAAGCGUGGGGAGCAAACAGGAUUAGAUACCCUGGUAGUCCACGCCCUAAACGAUGAGUACUAAACGUUGGAUAAAACCAGUGUUGAAGUUAACACAUUAAGUACUCCGCCUGAGUAGUACGUACGCAAGUAUGAAACUUAAAGGAAUUGACGGGACUCCGCACAAGCGGUGGAUCAUGUUGUUUAAUUCGAAGGUACCCGAAAAACCUCACCAGGUCUUGACAUGCUUUUGCAAAGCUGUAGAAAUACAGUGGAGGUUAUCAGAAGCACAGGUGGUGCAUGGUUGUCGUCAGCUCCUGUCGUGAGAUGUUGGGUUAAGUCCCGCAACGAGCGCAACCCUUGUUGUUAAUUGCCAUCAUUAAGUUGGGGACUUUAGCAAGACUGCCAAUGAUAAAUUGGAGGAAGGUGGGGACGACGUCAAAUCAUCAUGCCCCUUAUGACCUGGGCUACAAACGUGAUACAAUGGCUGUUACAAAGGGUAGCUAAAGCGUAAGCUUCUGGCGUAUCUCAAAAAAGCAGUCUCAGUUCGGAUUGAAGUCUGCAACUCGACUUCAUGAAGUUGGAAUCGCUAGUAAUCGCGAAUCAGCAUG
rnacentral:rRNA from 1 species